AAGGCCACCCGCGCGACAGGUUCCCCGGAGACGGGGAUGAAAAGGGAACGGGACAAUCCCGGCUGCCCCUGCAACUGUAAGCGGCGAGCCAUCGGCCUCAUGCCAUUGGGUGUUGCACCCGAGAAGGCGGCCGGACCGGCAACGACCCGCGAGCCAGGAGACCUGCCCGUCGCGGUCGUCUUUC
rnacentral:ncRNA from 2 species